AUCGGUGUGACACUUUUGAAAGUCAAAAGGUGCUCCACCCAUUCCGUACAAAAGGUGACGGCCGUCACCCUCCCAGCCACUUGAGCCCUGAAUACGAGGCAGUAUGGAGCGAGGACAGAUCCAUUCCGCAGCGCCCUCCUAUUUGGCGUGGUCCAUCUUCAACACUUUAUGUUGCUGUUGGCCAAUUGGCAUUGCAGCGAUUGUCUAUUCCUCCAAGGUACAAAAUGCCAACGCUACCGGGAACUCAGUCGCAGCUGCUGAUGCGUCGAAGACAGCCAAGAUCCUCAAUAUCGUGGCGCUGGUGUGCGGAUUAAUUUUACUCUCCAUCUUCAUCGCUCUCCAAGUCAUCACAAUGAAUCAAAAGCAGCACUAAAGGAAGGCACUCGAUGCUGGAGUCCGUGCUCAAAGUCUUUUUAUCUGUGUGAGGGUAUGCAUAUGUUCAGAUUUGUGCAACGUUUUUCAUGUACAUCAAUAAAAACAGUUGAAAAGUCUGAAAUGCAAUUCAAAAGUUGCAUAAAACAUGUAUAAGAAAAUCUAACAUCUCCUUAUCCCUCAACACAAAGAUUACAAUUGGAUUGAAUAUUUACUGAAUGGUUGAUUUUAUACAAUAAUAAACAAUGUCACAUUAAAUCAA